rnacentral:rRNA from 1 species
UCGAUUUGGAGUUUGUUGCCUAGAGUGAUGGGCUCCGAAGCUAACGCGAUAAAUCGACCGCCUGGGGAGUACGGCCGCAAGGUUAAAACUCAAAUGAAUUGACGGGGGCCCGCACAAGCGGUGGAGCAUGUGGUUUAAUUCGAUGCAACGCGAAGAACCUUACCUGGUCUUGACAUCCACAGAAUCUUUCAGAGAUGCGAGAGUGCCUUUGGGAACUGUGAGACAGGUGCUGCAUGGCUGUCGUCAGCUCGUGUUGUGAGGUGUUGGGUUAAGUCCCGCAACGAGCGCAACCCUUGUCAUUAGUUGCCAUCAUUAAGUUGGGCACUCUAAUGAGACUGCCGGUGACAAACCGGAGG